GACUACAGGGGUAUCUAAUCCUGUUUGCUCCCCGCGCUUUCGCACCUCAGCGUCAAUCUUCGUCCAGGUCAGCGCCUUCGCCACUGGUAUUCCUCCCGAUAUCUACGAAUUUCACCUCUACACCGGGAAUUCUCUGACCCCCUCCGAGAUUCAAGCGAAGCAGUUUUGAAUGCACUUCCUGGGUUGAGCCCAGGGCUUUCACACCCAACUUGCUUCGCCGCCUACGUGCGCUUUACGCCCAAUGAUUCCGAGCAACGUUUGCACCCUCCGUAUUACCGCGGCUGCUGGCACGGAGUUAGCCGGUGCUUGCUAAGGAGAUACCGUCAAGGCCCGCUCUUCACGGGCUUUCUUCGUCUCUCCCCACAGAGCUUUACGACCCGAAGGCCUUCAUCGCUCACGCGGCGUGGCUGCGUCAGGCUUUCGCCCAUUGCGCAAUAUUCCCCACUGCAGCCCCCCGUAGG
rnacentral:rRNA from 1 species